rnacentral:rRNA from 1 species
UACGAGGGGAGCAAGCGUUGUUCGGAUUUACUGGGCGUAAAGGGCGCGUAGGCGGUCGUGAAAGGUCACUUGUGAAAUCUCCGGGCUUAACUCGGAACGGUCAAGUGAUACUGUCGGACUAGAGUACAGAAGGGGCAACUGGAAUUCUCGGUGUAGCGGUGAAAUGCGUAGAUAUCGAGAGGAACACCUGCGGCGAAGGCGGGUUGCUGGGCUGAUACUGACGCUGACGCGCGAAAGCCAGGGGAGCGAACGGG